UUUUGUUUUUCUUUUUCUCCUUGAGGUACUGGUAAUGGACACCGGGCUUUAUACAUGCUAGGCAAGUGCUCACCACUGAACUACAUAUCCUUAACCAUCCUGAUAGCUUUGGAAGAUCAGGGAGGAGACAUAAGAAUGGUUCAAGAAAUGUUUUUUCUUUCCCUUUCUAUCCCUCUCCCCUUUGUUGCUAAAAAUUUUACAGACCCAGAGUCUCUCUUUAACUACUUUCUUUCUCUCAAAAAGGCCCAUUUCCAAAGCAAGUGGAGGUGGCACCAUCUCAUUCUCACCGUACACAGGCUCUCCAUAGCUGGGGAGUCACCCACAUUGCACCUCACUCAAAUGGCAGCCACCCACCCGUGUAGAGGAAGUCCUCAGAUGUGACUGCUUCUUCAAAGAAGUUGACUACUGCUACUGGCUUUGCUCCUCAAAGAAGGCUCAAAGAUUUCCUUCUGUGGAAAUGCAAAUUCACCCUCACCCUAUCAAGGCCUCUGACAUUCACUACAGAGUUCCCAGCUUUUUUUUUUUUUUUUGCUUUUUUUUUUCUUUUCUUUUUUUCGGAGGUGGGGACCGAA
rnacentral:lncRNA from 1 species